rnacentral:rRNA from 1 species
UACGAAGGGGGCUAGCGUUGCUCGGAAUCACUGGGCGUAAAGCGCACGUAGGCGGAUUGUUAAGUCGGGGGUGAAAUCCUGGAGCUCAACUCCAGAACUGCCUUCGAUACUGGCGAUCUUGAGUCCGGGAGAGGUGAGUGGAACUCCGAGUGUAGAGGUGAAAUUCGUAGAUAUUCGGAAGAACACCAGUGGCGAAGGCGGCUCACUGGCCCGGUACUGACGCUGAGGUGCGAAAGCGUGGGGAGC